AUGAGUCCGGGGUCCAUAGCUCUAAUGGGAUUCACCUGGCCACCGCCGAUGUCAAAUGGGUCAGCGGCUUUGCGAUUUGGGCCUUCGGCAGAUAUGUCUGUUCCGUCUGUUCCAGUUUGGGAAGCUGCAGUUUCCUUGGGACCAAUGCUGAUGAAGGGAUUUGAUCAGUGCAGCAAUCCCAGCUACGUGGGGACAUGCCAUUGAAGUUCCUGAUAGCAGUGUAUAGUAACCAUUUCCGGAUUUGGAGUUAAAUGGUGGGAAGGCAGCUAAUAUGUCCACGCCGGGGGCAGCUACGUCGGGCUGUGCCCAAUUGAUGAAACAUUGUAAGAGGAGAUUUGAAGUUUUACUUCUCAGCUAUACCUUUAGAACAGCUGGGGUCAGGGAACUUGGCCCUCUGGAUGAGAAAGUGGCAACUCGUGGGGACGUCCAUUUGCCUAUCACAGUGUUUGGAGAACUCAGCUUUGCUAUUGGAGACCUUCAUAGUGGGAUGGACAAGCAAUAAAGGAAAUUAUUUGUGUCCCUACUUCGUAAUCCACUUUAACACAUGGGAUAUCACAUGAUUGAAGUCCAUCAUUGUGAGACUGGGCAAAAAUGACUCCAACUCCUCCUGCUUCCUGGACAGCAGUUGCUGCUGAAGCUAUAUCCUGCUGAUCAUAUAAGUCUGAAAAGCAUAGUACUAUUUUUCCUGCUGCUAAUGUUGCAUUUAGACUUCCAAGCUCGCAAUCCUUGCUUGAAUAUUUGUAACAGAAAUUAGUAAGAGAUUCAGAUUGUGCUUUUGUUUUUCAUUAUUUCAUUUUAUUAUUUGUAUCAUUUAAUUAAAAAGGAAAGUACAAACUUUAACUAGACGAGAAAUCUCACGCUGAAGAAUCGGUGGAGUCAACAGCUAUGCGCUCGGAGUAUGUAAUGCCAGCAAAACCAUGGUUAUGUCUUCCAGUGUCAAUAGAUUGGCCCUGCAAAGAGCAAAAACUAUUGAAGAAAUCUUAUUUCAUUUGCCCAAUUUUCAG